CUUCCCCUACUAGAUCUCCACCUGAUGCCUCCCCAAAAGGCAUCCACCAGGCAAUCCAUGACCUCCGCUGCCAGAUCUCAGGCUCCAGCCUCGCCUCCAAUUUUCCAAGCUCCUCCUCCUCCUCCGACAAUGACGGUCGGUAUGGAGCAGUUCGACCUGCUGGUUCAGUAGGUCAGAGGCCUCACCGAAGCAGUGCAGGCCAUGUGGCAGCAGCAGCAAUAGCCACAGGCAUCAGUGCAGUUGGAAAGAGUGUCAUCGGAGUUCCAAGAUCCGACAGUAGGGCGGGCCACUUAGGCCAAUCAUCUUGUCUUCCCCAGAAAGGAGAAUCGGAGGGUGGAGAGCCCACAGUCUGAUCACGAUUCCACUCCCAAAGGAUCCCUACCUCCACUCUACCAGAAGACCCUCGAGACUCACAGUCGAGAGGACCUCUUGGAUUGAAGGCUCCAGGAGAUGAACC
rnacentral:lncRNA from 1 species